rnacentral:rRNA from 1 species
UACGUAGGGUGCGAGCGUUGUCCGGAAUUAUUGGGCGUAAAGGGCUCGUAGGCGGUCUGUCACGUCGGGAGUGAAAACUCAGGGCUUAACCCUGAGCCUGCUUCCGAUACGGGCUGACUAGAGGUAUGCAGGGGAGAACGGAAUUCCUGGUGUAGCGGUGAAAUGCGCAGAUAUCAGGAGGAACACCGGUGGCGAAGGCGACUUCCUGGCCUGUUCUUGACGCUGAGGCGCGAAAGCUAGGGUAGCAAACGGG